GAUGAAGAACGCAGCGAAAUGCGAUAAGUAAUGUGAAUUGCAGAAUUCAGUGAAUCAUCGAAUCUUUGAACGCACAUUGCGCCCGCCAGUAUUCUGGCGGGCGUGCCUGUCUGAGCGUCAUUUCAACCCUCAUGCCCCUAGGGCGUGGUGUUGGGGAUCGGCCAAAGCCCGCGAGGGACGGCCGGCCCCUAAAUCUAGUGGCGGACCCGUCGUGGCCUCCUCUGCGAAGUAGUGAUAUUCCGCAUCGGAGGGCGAUGAGCCCCUGCCGUUAAACCCCCAACUUUCCAAGGUUGACCUCAGAUCAGGUAGGAAUACCCGCUGAACUUAAGCAUAUCAAUAAGCGGAGGA
rnacentral:misc_RNA from 1 species